rnacentral:rRNA from 1 species
UACGGAGGGGGCAAGCGUUGUUCGGAAUUACUGGGCGUAAAGGGCGCGCAGGCGGCUGCUCAAGUCAGGCGUGAAAGGCCUGGGCUCAACCCGGGAACUGCUUUUGAAACUGCCGAGCUAGAGUGCGGAAGGGGCAACUGGAAUUCCCAGUGUAGCGGUGAAAUGCGUAGAUAUUGGGAAGAACACCUGAGGCGAAGGCGGGUUGCUGGGCCGACACUGACGCUGAUGCGCGAAAGCCAGGGGAGCGAACGGG